UGUGCAUCUAGCAUUGUUUGGGUAAUUAUUUGGAAAGUUCUGUGACUGAAUUGUUCCACUUUUUGCAGUCAAAUAUGCAUCGCAAUCUGUGUCGAAAAAGAGGAAGCAAAAUCACAAGAGAUAGUAUUAACAAAUUAGGUCUCUGGUAUUGGAAACUUUCGCAAUAUGAGGACGUUCUCAAACUCGUCACAAGCCAAAUCGAAUAUCUACCACGACAAGAGAACACCUUCCUUAGAAGCAUCAUCAUGACUAAUUUAUUUCCGAAUCACUACAAAAUGUGUUUGUGGCACCACGAUGGAGUACGUGCAUUGCUUGUUUGAUAGAAAUGUCGAUGGAAAACCAGGAGAAGAAAAAUUGCCUUUCGUUGAGUCGAAUGCGAAGUCACAACCUGAAGAAUGAUUAAAAUUAUGUCACAAAGAUGAUUUAGGAAAUGUAUUUAAUCUUGUCCUUCGGUUUUUUUCUACUUGAGCACUAUCGAAUUCAAAUACACUAAAAAUAGCAUGCAAUUCAGCUCAAAUCAGAGACAAAGAUAUGGGUGACUGGUAGAAUACACUAUAGAAGCCAUCUCUCUAUUUCGGUCUAUCGGAAAAAUACAUAGAUUACUUCACUGGAAGGGAAUGUAAAAGAAUGAAAUAUCCAGAGCAGGACUUCAACUUUGCUGAACUUUUUUUACUAAAUCCUGUUCUUCUAUCGCACAAGUACUUACUUAUAUUACUGUCGUAUUUCGGAAUUUCAAAUAGCUUGCAAAACUGUCAUUAUCAAAAACUUCAUGAAAUGACUCGAAUGAUUCAUAAUCAUCUAUUGUCGAUAAGUAACACUUUUUAUCGUUCCACCCAUUCUUUUUAACUUUUAAGAAAUGUUGACACGCAAUAAUUUUCAUUGCCUU